AAAGUCGUAACAAGGUUUCCGUAGGUGAACCUGCGGAAGGAUCAUUAAAAAAAGAUCAAACCCCGGUUUUUUGAAAAAUCAACGCCUUCACAGGCCUCGUGGGGGUGUUUUUAAAACCACAGCAAAGUCCCAGUUGAUAAAGUCAUGCCGGGGGGCUCAGGGCCCCCCGGGGCCGGUUGAAAUCCCACCCGUGUCUACAUACUCUUGUUGCUUUGGCAGGCCGUGGUCUCCACUGUGGGGCUCGCCUGCAUGUGCCUGCCAGAGGACCAAACUCUGAAUUUUAGUGAUGUCUGAGUACUAUAUAAUAGUUAAAA
rnacentral:misc_RNA from 1 species